rnacentral:rRNA from 1 species
UACGUAGGGUGCGAGCGUUGUCCGGAAUUACUGGGCGUAAAGAGCUCGUAGGUGGUUUGUCGCGUUGUUCGUGAAAACUCACAGCUUAACUGUGGGCGUGCGGGCGAUACGGGCGGACUGGAGUACUGCAGGGGAGACUGGAAUUCCUGGUGUAGCGGUGAAGUGCGCAGAUAUCAGGAGGAACACCGGUGGCGAAGGCGGGUCUCUGGGCAGUUACUGACGCUGAGGAGCGAAAGCGUGGGGAGCGAACAGG